ACGAAUCUAAGUCGAUGCACUGUGCUGGUGGAAACACAUGUGCACGUGUGUCGCAAACAUCCACACACCUGUGAACCCUAGACUCUGUGGUGAUUGAUCGCCCUGACCUUUGGUCUACGCGAAAGAGGGUCUCUGAGCCCUCCGUCUCCCAGGGUACUUUUUAUCACACUCCGAAUGUAAUGGAAUGUCUCUGUGCAUAAUGCGCAAAUAUA
rnacentral:misc_RNA from 1 species